UAUGCUUUCCGUCAGCUCGCCAUCUGCUAGCGGAAAAACAAAUGCUUAAGAACAUCUGCUCUUUUAUUGUUUUUGCAUAUAUAAAUAAGCAUUAUCACACUUUAUAGGUAUACCAAAGCAUAACUAGUUACUUUUUCAAGAACUCUUCAGCCGUAAGAGAAAAGGAAAAGCUAUGAAGUACUUGGGAUUUUUGGUAAUCUUUGCCUUAAUUGUAUCCACAUAUGCUGGUAUAGAUACGACACAGUUUCUUGAGCAUUUCAUUAAGGUGGGAUGUGCGAAGGACGCUUCUUCAGGAGCAGAUAUGCUGAUGAAAAUAUGUGGAACAUGCUUGCACUACACUGUCGAUCUAAGGAAAAUUGAUCAGGGAUCAUGCGCAAAUCUUCGAACCUAAUUUCUGAGGUUUGAAACAGUCGCACGGAAGAACUACAAAUGGAUGAAUGAAUGCAAGGCAAUCUUUCUAAGCAGGAGAAAUGUUCAUAAGAUGAAUGUAUUAAUUAAUCUGUAUUCAGUAAAAUUAUGAUAAAUUAUUAAUAAUUCAAAAAAUAAUAAAAUUACGAAUUUUUCCUUUCA